CUUUUCCCCGCCGUCCGCUAGGACUUCAGCAGAUCCUCUCCGAGGCAGGGCCGGCGGCGCUGCCGGGGCUCCGAGCGGGCACUUUGCUGUAGGAAGGGCAGGUUUCUUUCUCCUCUCCACGUGCUGUUCUGUGCCUUGCUCUGCCCAGAUGUGACACACAGGACCUGAGUGCUUCACUUGGGGUUUUUCCUUGGAGCUCAGUGGAACCGCCCCGGUUUGACUCCCCACAUCUUCGGCGUGGAAGGAGAUGCUCCCAGCAGGCAGAAAAUGCAUCUCCACCCGGGAGGACAGGAUCCGUGUGCUGCCAAUACGCCUGGGCUCCAGCUCCUCUGAUCCCUGCGGGACGGUGGGCGGUGGGCAGCAGGUGCCGGUGCUGCAGCUGGGGGCUCACCCCAGUGCCCGCCCCUGCAGAGCCCCCCCACCUCACCACAGGCGUCCCAGCGCCUUGUGGCUGCAUCCUGAGGUUGCUCCCAAGCAGCAGCCGGAGCCACUCAUGCUGCUGCGGGCAGAAGGCAGUACGCUGGCACCGGAGCCCGGGGCCAAGGUCAGCGCUCUCCGCCAGACACUGGCUGUGCAGAACUCACUGGCCGCUCACACUGCCAGAGGCGACGCGAAGUGCAGGGACAGCAGCGCGCUUGGGCUCAGCUGAGCUACUUGUUCUGAAAGAGAAGCCAAAUGGGUUGGAGCUGUUUGUGCUUUCAGACACUCAGCGAGCAGAGCCACACGCAGAAGCUGAAGUAUUUAUGGCACACAAAGAACAUCCCUUUCAUCUUCAGUGUUUGAAAUCUUCCUUCAGAGCCACCUGUGGGACAGUGCUGCACGCAGCUUGCCCAAACACACUGUGUAAUUCGCACAACAAAAAACACAUAAAAGAACAUCAGGCCUGGAGGACAAACCCCUGAAAAAUCAGGAACGCUUUCGGCACGAGGACUGAAUUUUCAGGGCCUGCAUGGGAUGUGCACAGAUGCUCCAGCGGGGUGUCAGAACUCACGGCCACUUGCCAGAGCCCAGGGCCCUCCUGCAGGCCCCCAGCAGCUCUGCCCCGUGCAGCGGGCCCCGAGCAGCCCCGACCCCGCCUGGGUGCCGGUGGGGCUGCGUGCCCAGAGCCGGGGGCUGGCCAUUGGCCGGGGACAGCAACCUGCACGGAGCUCCUGGCACAGCCCCACCGUGAGCGCUCCUUGCUCAGGGAACAGGAAUAAGAUGUGGCUAGGGUCUGAGUCAGAGACAGCAUUUAAAGUUUGAGACCUUGGUUGAUUCUGAAUACGUUUGUUUUUCCCCAAAUGCCACAACAGGUUAGUCUACAAACAUUGCCACAGCAUGGCCUGAACGCAGCUCUCUGCCUCUACGCAAACAAACAAACAAACAAACAGGAAUACAAAACUCCACCAUCCUUCUUUCCUUCUUUAGGUAAUGCAGUGAGAACUUGUAAAAGCAUCUGAGAAAACAUCCAAGCUCCUGCUUGUUUCCUGGUUGGUUUUUAUGCUCUGCAGAUCCCCCAGCAGCUGAUGGCCCUGGCCUCAGGGCCGGGCGAUGGCAUGGGGCAGCUGACGGGCAGAAGGGCUGUGCUGCCCCCCCCAGCCCCGUGCUGGAUGAGGAACGGGACGGGCGGCUGCAGACGGAUCAAGAGAGGCGAGGGGGAGCUGGGACCAGCUCCAGGGGGUCAGCCUCAGUGCUAGGGCUGCCAACGGCACGGCAAUGCCUCACAGCUCAGAAUGCGGCCAGCAAUCUCAGUGUAAAGAGGGAAGGAAAUACUCAGAACUACCUGUAUUGCUGGGCUUUUAGAAGGGUGAGAAAGGUGAUGUUUUUCCCAGUAGCUUUCUAAAAGGAAGGGAGCAGUGAAAGCACCGGCAGCAUUUCGAACAGAGCGAAGCAUUUUCUGUGUCAGAGAUGCCAGGGAA